UUAUUUUCGUUAUAGCAAAAUAGAAUUCUGCUUGAUUAGAUCCACUCGACAGAAUCCCAUCUAAAUAGGCUUAAAACAUAACUUUUUUUAUUAUUCGAAAGGAAAUCACAUCGACAGUCUCUAGUCUUGUCCUAGCUCAUCAGAGAGCUAGAUUCGCCUCAAUUAUUUAUCUUUCUUUCAGCUUUUCUCAAAUUAGUUUCGACUAUUUCAAGAGUCUUCUGAGCUUUUUGUGCAUCAUUUACUAAAAUAAUGAUCUCAUUAUUUCCUAUUCUAGCAAAACCACCCAUCAAAGCGAUCGUUAACCAUUCGCACUUAAAGCGUAUUCUCAAAAUCCCUAUAUCUAUAGCUGUAGAAAUAGAGGCAUGAUUUAGUAAUAUGCCAAUUUGACCACUAUUAGUAUAUAAAAUGAUUUUUUUCACUUUUGAAUCCCAAACAAUUCGAUUAGUGGUCAGUAUACAAAGAUUUAAAAUCAUUUCUUCAAAUUUCUCUCCAUUUCUAAGUUUAUAGCUUUCGCGGUAGCUUCAUCGAUAUUAUCUACCAAAUAAAAGGCAUGUUCAAGAAAACCAUCUAAUUCUCCGAAAAAGAUUAAUUGAAACCCUCUAAUAAUUUCUGCUAGACCAACAUAUUUUCCUAGAGAAUCAGUAAAUACUUCUGAUACAAAAAAGGUUGUGAUAAGAAAUGCUCAAUUUUUCUUGCUCUUACUAUGGUUAAACGAUCCUCUUCGAAUAAUUCGUCCAACCUAAGGAUAGUUAUAAUGUCCUGAAGCUCUUUGUAACGUUGUAAAGUUAGUCUAACUCUUUGCGCAGUUUUGUAAUGUUCCUCACCAAUGAUCCGAGGUUGAUGCAUGGUUAAUAUUGAAUCUACUACUGGAUAGAUCCCCUUGGAAACUAAUCCUCUUGAUAGUACGAUAGUACCACCUAAAUGUGUAAAUGUCCUAGUAGGAAUAGGGUAGGUCAAAUCAUCUAUAAGUACGUAAACUGCUUAAAUAGAAGUUAUGGACCCUUCUUUGGUAGAAGUAAUUCUUUCUCAUAAAGUACCUAUUUCAGUACUCAGGGUAGGUUGAUAAUUGACAGCAGAAGGCAUUUUGCCCAAUAAGGCCGAUACUAAGGAUCUUGCCUGGGUGAAACGGAAGAUAUUGUCGAUAGAUAGAAGUACGUCUUAUUCAUUAACAUCUCGAAAAUAUUUAGCCAUAGUUAGGGCAAUCAAACCAACUCUUAUACGAGCUCCAGGUGGUUCAUUCAUCUGGUCGUAAACUAGAGCCACUUUUGAUUCUGCAAUAUUUUCUUCAUUAAUCACUCAACAUUCUUUCAUUUCCAUGUAAAGAUAAUUUCUUUCAUGAGUACGUUCACCCACUCCAUCAAAUACGGAUCCACACCCAUAGGCUUUGGCAAUAUUGUUAAUCAAUUCCAUAAUGAGUACCGUUUUACCAACUCCAUCUCCUCCAAAUAGUCCGAUUUUUCCCUCAUGGCGAUAAGGGGCUAAAAGAUCUACUACUUUAAUUCUUGUUUCAAAAAUAGAUAAUUUUGUGUCUAGCUUAUAAAAGCAGGUGCAGAUCUAUGAAUAGGAAAUGUUGUAUAAAUAUUUACAGGACCUAAAUUAUCAAUAGGCUCUCCAAGCACGUUGAAAAUUCGUCCCAGAGUCGCUUCAUCGAUCGGAACACUUAGAGGAGCUCCUGUGUUAAUCACUUACAUUCCUCUCAUCAGACCAUCUGUAGCACUUAUAGUUACAACUCUAACUCGAUUAUUUUCUAAUAAUUACUAUACCUCACAAGUCACAUUAAUUGCCUGAUCAACAGUAUCUCAACUUUUAACUACCAGAGCAUUACAAAUAUUAGGCAUCUUGCCUGGCAGAAUGGCUACAUCUCGUACCAGACCGGUGAUCAGGAUGAUACGGUUGAGGAUUUGUUUUUCAAGCGUGGAAACCCCAGAACCAAAAGUAAUAGAAUUAAUUCUCAUAAUAAUAAACAAAAUAUGUCGAAAUUUUUUUUUGUGAAAAUUAUCAAAUUCAAAAUAAAAGUCUAAUAGCACGGAGAUCAGUUAAUUCAAUAAGAAAUGUCAAUAAGAAAUGAGAGUUAGCACCUGAUUUCGUUGGUACCAUUCAAUCGAAUCCAAUUCAAUUGUUUACUUAUUCAUCCACUUAAAAUUUUUAAGUUCAUCCAAGCUAUUUUGAAAAUUUCAAGUGGAUGAAUAAGAAUCUUAAGAAAGUUUUUCAUUUGUCUAUAAUGAUAGACAAUCCCAUCUAUAUUAUAGAAAUAUUCUAUCGAAUUCAAACUUGAACUCUAUUUACAUUAGGAUUCAUUAUUUCCAUAUCAUCUGUGCUUCGUAUUUUUUAUUUCAGCAUAUCGAUUUAUGCUUACGCCUAGCCUAUAUUUUUUCUUGUCAUUUUUUAUACCCUUUCAUAGACGAAUUGUGCAUAUUUUCACAUCUAGGAU
rnacentral:lncRNA from 1 species